AGGGAGGUGAAGGCUAUGGUGAAUCUUCGUCAUGAGAACGUGCUGCUCCUGCUGGGGGUCACUGAGAACCUCGAGUGGGACUACGUGUACGGGCCGGCUCUGGUGACAGGAUUCAUGGAGAACGGCUCCCUCUCAGGGCUGCUGCAACCUUCAUGCCCUCGGCCCUGGCCUCUCCUCUGUCGCCUGCUAGAGGAAGUGGUGCUGGGGAUGUGCUACCUACACAGCUUGAACCCUUCGCUACUGCACCGGGACCUCAAGCCCUCCAAUGUUCUGCUGGAUCCAGAGCUCCACGCCAAGUUUUGGGGUCCUCGUGUGGACAGUGCUGGCUGGAAGAGAAGCUGAGGUGGUAGACAAGACCUCACUAAUUCGUGGAGCAGUGUGUAACAGGCAGAGGCGACCUCCAUUGACAGAGCUGCCUCCGGACAGCCCUGAGACUCCUGGCUUAGAAGGACUGAAGGAGUUAAUGACGCAUUGCUGGAGUUCUGAGCCUAAAGACAGGCCAUCCUUCCAAGACUGUGAAUCAAAAACCAAUAAUGUUUACAUCCUGGUACAGGACAAGGUAGAUGCUGCUGUCUCCAAGGUAAAGCAUUAUCUGUCUCAGUACAGAAGCAGUGACACAAAGUUGUCUGCCAGAGAGUCCAGCCAAAAAGGUACAGAGGUGGAUUGCCCCAGGGAAACCAUAGUUUAUGAAAUGCUGGACCGCCUGCAUCUGGAGGAGCCCUCUGGAUCAGUUCCUGAAAGACUCACAAGUCUUACUGAGAGGAGAGGAAAGGAAGCAUCAUUUGGGCAUGCCACACCAGCAGGGACAUCAUCUGACACCUUGGCUGGCACUCCCCAAAUUCCACAUACUUUACCCUCCAGAGGCACAACACCUAGGCCAGCCUUUACUGAGACU
rnacentral:lncRNA from 1 species